rnacentral:misc_RNA from 1 species
CCGAGUUAUACAACUCAUCAACCCUGUGAACAUACCUAAAACGUUGCUUCGGCGGGAACAGACGGCCCUGUAACAACGGGCCGCCCCCGCCAGAGGACCCCUAACUCUGUUUUUAUAAUGUUUUUCUGAGUAAACCAGCAAAUAAAUUA